UACGGGGGGGGGCAAGCGUUGUUCGGAAUUACUGGGCGUAAAGGGCGCGUAGGCGGUGCGGUAAGUCACCUGUGAAAUCUCCUGGCUCAACUGGGAGCUUGCAGGCGAAACUGCCGUGCUGGAGUGUGGGAGAGGUGCGUGGAAUUCCUGGUGUAGCGGUGAAAUGCGUAGAUAUCAGGAGGAACACCUGUGGCGAAAGCGGCGCACUGGACCACAACUGACGCUGAGGCGCGAAAGCUAGGGGAGCAAACAGG
rnacentral:rRNA from 1 species